rnacentral:rRNA from 1 species
UACAGGUGUUGCAUGGCUGUCGCCAGCUCGUGUCGUGAGAUGUUCGGUUAAGUCCGCUAACGAGCGCAACCCUCGCUGUGUGUUACAAGUGUCACACAGUACUGCCGAUAUUAAGUCGGAGGAAGGUGGGGAUGACGUCAAGUCAGCAUGACCUUUAUAUCCAGGGCUACACACACGCUACAAUGGCCAGUACAAUGGGUUGCCAAGCCGCGAGGCGGAGCCAAUCCUAAAAAGACUGGCCUCAGUUCAGAUUGCAGUCUGCAACUCGACUGCAUGAAGUUGGAGUUGCUAGUAACCGCAGGUCAGCAAUACUGCGGUGAAUACCGGUUCCCGGGGAUU